GGGGGGGGCAAGCGUUGUUCGGAAUUACUGGGCGUAAAGGGUGCGUAGGCGGUGCUCUAAGUCGGAUGUGAAAACUCUGGGCUCAACCCAGAGCCUGCAUCCGAAACUGGAGUGCUAGAGUUCUGGAGGGGGUAGCGGAAUUCCUGGUGUAGCGGUGAAAUGCGUAGAUAUCAGGAGGAACACCGGUGGCGAAGGCGGCUACCUGGACAGAGUCUGACGCUGAGGCACGAAAGCUAGGGGAGCAAACAGGAUUAGAUACCCUGGUAGUCCUAGCCCUAAACGAUGGAUACUUGGUGUGACUGGGAUUGAAUCCAGUCGUGCCGAAGCUAACGCAUUAAGUAUCCCGCCUGGGGAGUACGGUCGCAAGGCUG
rnacentral:rRNA from 1 species